rnacentral:misc_RNA from 1 species
UUAAUAUGGACUGAUGCCCUUCA